AGGCAGCCCCAGAGUGGCCAUAGGUCUGAGAGCCCCACAGGGCCCCUCCUGGUUGAUUCCCCAAAUCCACUUCUCCAUCACCCUCACUGACCUUCUCCCACUGUGAGGCCUCCUGCCUUCCACAGGACCUGCCUGCUGUCUCACCUCUUCAUAGCUCACCUCUCUUCUCUACCCCAAGGCUGGCUUUGAGGGACCCUGGCUCCACAGUCCUUGCCACAGUAUGAACAAGGUCACUUCCUGCUGCAGAGUCCUCACUCCAGCUUUCUCACCAAUCCUCCCCCUACACAAGAAGAUCAUCUCUGGGUUCAGGUCACCCAUCCAACUCCACUGAUGGAUUUAGGCUCAUUUAAUCCAAACUCGACUCCAUUUCAGCCAGAACCAGGCACCUCUAGAAAGGUCACCCUAACUGCCACAUCCAGUUCCUGAUCUGCCAUCUGCUUCUUUUCCAUCACUUGUGGGGUAUUUCCCAGCCUACCACUAAUGUGAGCCCUCCUGAGUCAAAAGUUCCCCUCUUCCAGGCCUCCUGCUCAGCUGACGUCCUGGACCAGGCAGGCCACCCUUGUUCCACUUCCCCUGGGAAGACACCUGGGUCUUGUGCCUGCCCUGGAUUAGGGUGGGCAAAUUAGUUCAUCCAGGACUAGAAGAAUGGAAAUAAACAGACUUGUGUCUUGGGGCUGACUCUGAAA
ensembl:lncRNA LINC02771 long intergenic non-protein coding RNA 2771